rnacentral:rRNA from 1 species
AGAGUAUGAUCCUGGCUCAGAGCGAACGCUGGCGGCAGGCUUAACACAUGCAAGUCGAACGAUAUAGUGGCAGACGGGUGAGUAACGCGUGGGAACGUACCUUUCACUACGGAAUAGCUCUUGGAAACGAGUGGUAAUACCGUAUACGCCCUUCGGGGGAAAGAUUUAUCGGUGAAAGAUCGGCCCGCGUUAGAUUAGCUAGUUGGUAGGGUAAUGGCCUACCAAGGCGACGAUCUAUAGCUGGUCUGAGAGGAUGAUCAGCCACACUGGGACUGAGACACGGCCCAGACUCCUACGGGAGGCAGCAGUGGGGAAUCUUGCACAAUGGGCGAAAGCCUGAUGCAGCCAUGCCGCGUGAAUGAUGAAGGCCUUAGGGUUGUAAAAUUCUUUCGCUAGGGAUGAUAAUGACAGUACCUAGUAAAGAAGCCCCGGCUAACUUCGUGCCAGCAGCCGCGGUAAUACGAAGGGGGCUAGCGUUGUUCGGAAUUACUGGGCGUAAAGCGCACGUAGGCGGACUUUUAAGUCAGAUGUGAAAUCCCGGGGCUCAACCUCGGAACUGCAUUUGAAACUGGAAGUCUAGAGACCAGGAGAGGUUAGCGG